GGGAGCGCACAACCAGUGGAGCAUGUGGUUUAAUUCGAUACGAAGCGUAGUACCUUACCUGGACUUGACAUGUAUCUGCACGCCCUGCGAAAGCAGGGAAGCCUACGAGGGUGAUACACAGGUGCUGCAUGGCUGUCGUCAGCUCGUGUCGUGAGACGUCUGCUUAAGUGCAGUAACGAGCGCAACCCCUGCCGUAUGUUGAAUAUUCAUGCGGGACUGCCUUACAGCAAGUAGGGAGGAAGGAGGGGACGACGUCAAGUCAGCAUGGCCCUUACGUCCAGGGCAACACACAUCCUACAAUGGGGAGGACAACGGGUUGCGAUCCGGUAACGGUAAGCUAAUCCUUCAAACCUCCUCUCAGUUCGAAUAGUGGGCUGAAAUUCGCCCACUUGAAGUCGGAAUUGGUAGUAA
rnacentral:rRNA from 1 species